rnacentral:rRNA from 1 species
UACAGAGGUCUCAAGCGUUGUUCGGAUUCAUUGGGCGUAAAGGGUGUGUAGGUGGCGCCGUAAGUGGGGUGUGAAAUCUCGGGGCUUAACUCCGAAACUGCAUUCCAUACUGCGGUGCUUGAGGACUGGAGAGGAGACUGGAAUUCAUGGUGUAGCAGUGAAAUGCGUAGAGAUCAUGAGGAAGACCAGUGGCGAAGGCGGGUCUCUGGACCGAUACUGACACUGAGAAGCGAAAGCGUGGGGAGCGAACAGG